UGCGUCUGAGUUCUGAUUAACUUUUGUUUGUUCAAGUGGCCAGCCGCGCUUGAUGAUGGCUGCGAAGGAGGAAGCGAGUGGGAGUGAAGGCGAAGACUACGUUUACAGGAUUAGUACAGCUAAGGAGUGGGAAGAUUUGCAGAAACAUGGAUCCGUCUAUGGUGGAGAUCUUGACCGAUCUUCUGGUUUCAUCCACCUCAGCAAGCGCGACCAGGCACAAUCAUCUAAAUGAAACAACUGCCAAAUUUCUUCAUCCGAAAUGCCUGGGUUUAUUUACUCUUACAAUUAUGAAAAGUUACAAAGAAAUAUUCUAUGGAUAGUAAAGCAGCAUACGUGUGUAUUUUUAAUGACUUAGCAUACCAAGUUGGUAAAGUUGGCCUUUUAUUAGAAAAUGAAAACGUUACAAACCACGUUUUAAUUAUUGUUUGAUAUUAUUCUGAGUUCGAAGUUUUGCUUUCUGAUUGUAGACAUAUUUAGAUUUUCGUGUUGAUAUUUCUGUGUAAUGGGUUCGUCAACAAGCAACUUUUGCAUCUCAUACUCUAGCUAGAGCUUACAAAAAAAAAAAAAAAAAAAAAAAAACAAA